rnacentral:rRNA from 1 species
GACGAACGCUGGCGGCGUGCUUAACACAUGCAAGUCGAACGGAAAGGCCCUGCUUUUGUGGGGUGCUCGAGUGGCGAACGGGUGAGUAACACGUGAGUAACCUGCCCUUGACUUUGGGAUAACUUCACGAAACAGGGGCUAAUAUCGGGUAGGAGCUCCUGCUGCGUGGUGGUGGUUGGAAAGAGUCGGCGGUUGGGGAUGUACUCGCGGCUUAUCAGCUUGUUGGUGAGGUAGUGGCUGACCAAGGCUUUGACGGGUAGCCGGCCUGAGAGGGUGACCGGCCACAUUGGGACUGAGGUACGGAGCAGACUCGUACGGGAGGCAGCAGUGGGGAAUAUUGCACAGUGGGCGGAAGCCUGAUGCAGCAGUGCUGCGUGCGGAAUGACGGCCUUCGGGUUGUAAACCGCUUUCGAAUGUGACGAAGAGUGAGUGACGGUAAUGGGUCAAGAAGCCACGGCUAACUAUGUG